UUAAGCGACUAAGCGUACACGGUGGAUGCCCUGGCAGUCAGAGGCGAUGAAGGACGUGCUAAUCUGCGAAAAGCGUCGGUAAGGUGAUAUGAACCGUUAUAACCGGCGAUGUCCGAAUGGGGAAACCCAGUGUGAUUCGUCACACUAUCGUUAACUGAAUACAUAGGUUAACGAGGCGAACCGGGGGAACUGAAACAUCUAAGUACCCCGAGGAAAAGAAAUCAACCGAGAUUCCCCCAGUAGCGGCGAGCGAACGGGGAGCAGCCCAGAGUCUGAAUCAGCUUGUGUGUUAGUGGAACGGUCUGGAAAGUCCGACGGUACAGGGUGAUAGUCCCGUACACCAAAAUGCACAGGUUGUGAACUCGAAGAGUAGGGCGGGACACGUGGUAUCCUGUCUGAAUAUGGGGGGACCAUCCUCCAAGGCUAAAUACUCCUGACUGACCGAUAGUGAACCAGUACCGUGAGGGAAAGGCGAAAAGAACCCCGGCGAGGGGAGUGAAAAAGAACCUGAAACCGUGUACGUACAAGCAGUGGGAGCACCAUCGGGUGUGACUGCGUACCUUUUGUAUAAUGGGUCAGCGACUUAUAUUCUGUAGCAAGGUUAACCGUAUAGGGGAGCCGCAGGGAAACCGAGUCUUAACUGGGCGUUAAGUUGCAGGGUAUAGACCCGAAACCCGGUGAUCUAGCCAUGGGCAGGUUGAAGGUUGGGUAACACUAACUGGAGGACCGAACCGACUAAUGUUGAAAAAUUAGCGGAUGACUUGUGGCUGGGGGUGAAAGGCCAAUCAAACCGGGAGAUAGCUGGUUCUCCCCGAAAGCUAUUUAGGUAGCGCCUCGUGAACUCAUCUUCGGGGGUAGAGCACUGUUUCGGCUAGGGGGUCAUCCCGACUUACCAACCCGAUGCAAACUACGAAUACCGAAGAAUGUUAUCACGGGAGACACACGGCGGGUGCUAACGUCCGUCGUGAAGAGGGAAACAACCCAGACCGCCAGCUAAGGUCCCAAAGUCAUGGUUAAGUGGGAAACGAUGUGGGAAGGCACAGACAGCCAGGAUGUUGGCUUAGAGGCAGCCAUCAUUUAAAGAAAGCGUAAUAGCUCACUGGUCGAGUCGGCCUGCGCGGAAGAUGUAACGGGGCUAAACCAUGCACCGAAGCUGCGGCAGCGACACUAUGUGUUGUUGGGUAGGGGAGCGUUCUGUAAGCCUGCGAAGGUGUGCUGUGAGGCAUGCUGGAGGUAUCAGAAGUGCGAAUGCUGACAUAAGUAACGAUAAAGCGGGUGAAAAGCCCGCUCGCCGGAAGACCAAGGGUUCCUGUCCAACGUUAAUCGGGGCAGGGUGAGUCGACCCCUAAGGCGAGGCCGAAAGGCGUAGUCGAUGGGAAACAGGUUAAUAUUCCUGUACUUGGUGUUACUGCGAAGGGGGGACGGAGAAGGCUAUGUUAGCCGGGCGACGGUUGUCCCGGUUUAAGCAUGUAGGCUGAUUAUCCAGGCAAAUCCGGAUAAUCAAGGCUGAGGUGUGAUGACGAGGCACUACGGUGCUGAAGUAACAAAUGCCCUGCUUCCAGGAAAAGCCUCUAAGCAUCAGGUAACAUCAAAUCGUACCCCAAACCGACACAGGUGGUCAGGUAGAGAAUACCAAGGCGCUUGAGAGAACUCGGGUGAAGGAACUAGGCAAAAUGGUGCCGUAACUUCGGGAGAAGGCACGCUGGUGUGUAGGUGAAGCCCCUGCGGGUGGAGCUGAGACCAGUCGAAGAUACCAGCUGGCUGCAACUGUUUAUUAAAAACACAGCACUGUGCAAACACGAAAGUGGACGUAUACGGUGUGACGCCUGCCCGGUGCCGGAAGGUUAAUUGAUGGGGUUAUCCGUAAGGAGAAGCUCUUGAUCGAAGCCCCGGUAAACGGCGGCCGUAACUAUAACGGUCCUAAGGUAGCGAAAUUCCUUGUCGGGUAAGUUCCGACCUGCACGAAUGGCGUAAUGAUGGCCAGGCUGUCUCCACCCGAGACUCAGUGAAAUUGAACUCGCUGUGAAGAUGCAGUGUACCCGCGGCAAGACGGAAAGACCCCGUGAACCUUUACUAUAGCUUGACACUGAACAUUGAGCCUUGAUGUGUAGGAUAGGUGGGAGGCUUUGAAGCGUGGACGCCAGUCUGCGUGGAGCCAACCUUGAAAUACCACCCUUUAAUGUUUGAUGUUCUAACGUUGGCCCCUUACCGGGGUUGCGGACAGUGUCUGGUGGGUAGUUUGACUGGGGCGGUCUCCUCCCAAAGCGUAACGGAGGAGCACGAAGGUUAGCUAAUCCUGGUCGGACAUCAGGAGGUUAGUGCAAUGGCAUAAGCUAGCUUGACUGCGAGCGUGACGGCGCGAGCAGGUGCGAAAGCAGGUCAUAGUGAUCCGGUGGUUCUGAAUGGAAGGGCCAUCGCUCAACGGAUAAAAGGUACUCCGGGGAUAACAGGCUGAUACCGCCCAAGAGUUCAUAUCGACGGCGGUGUUUGGCACCUCGAUGUCGGCUCAUCACAUCCUGGGGCUGAAGUAGGUCCCAAGGGUAUGGCUGUUCGCCAUUUAAAGUGGUACGCGAGCUGGGUUUAGAACGUCGUGAGACAGUUCGGUCCCUAUCUGCCGUGGGCGCUGGAGAAUUGAGGGGGGCUGCUCCUAGUACGAGAGGACCGGAGUGGACGCAUCACUGGUGUUCGGGUUGUCAUGCCAAUGGCACUGCCCGGUAGCUAAAUGCGGAAGAGAUAAGUGCUGAAAGCAUCUAAGCACGAAACUUGCCCCGAGAUGAGUUCUCCCUGAGACUUUAAGUCUCCUGAAGGAACGUUGAAGACGACGACGUUGAUAGGCCGGGUGUGUAAGCGCAGCGAUGCGUUGAGCUAACCGGUACUAAUGAACCGUGAGGCUUAACCUU
rnacentral:rRNA from 1 species